rnacentral:rRNA from 1 species
GCUGGCAGCUUGCUUUCUGCAACUCUCACAUGGUCGCUCACUGAAGCUAAGCAGGGCUGUGCCCAUGAGUAUCUGGAUGGGAGACCACAUGGGAAAGCUACUGUAGAUUGCUGCCGGAA